UGGCUCAGGACGAACGCUGGCGGCGUGCCUAAUACAUGCAAGUCGAGCGAGUCUGCCUUGAAGAUCGGAGUGCUUGCACUCUGUGAAACAAGAUACAGGCUAGCGGCGGACGGGUGAGUAACACGUGGGUAACCUGCCCAAGAGAUCGGGAUAACACCUGGAAACAGAUGCUANGACCGGAUAACAACAGAUGAUGCCUAUCAACUGUUUAAAAGAUGGUUCUGCUAUCACUCUUGGAUGGACCUGCGGUGCAUUAGCUAGUUGGUAGGGUAACGGCCUANGAAGGCGAUGAUGCAUAGCCGAGUUGAGAGACUGAUCGGCCACAUUGGGACUGAGACACGGCCCAAACUCCUACGCGGAGGCAGCAGUAGGGAAUCUUCCACAAUGGACGCAAGUCUGAUGGAGCAACGCCGCGUGAGUGAAGAAGGGUUUCGGCUCGUAAAGCUCUGUUGUUGGUGAAGAAGGACAGGGGUAGUAACUGACCUUUGUUUGACGGUAAUCAAUUAGAAAGUCACGGCUAACUACGUGCCAGCAGCCGCGGUAAUACGUAGGUGGCAAGCGUUGUCCGGAUUUAUUGGGCGUAAAGCGAGUGCAGGCGGCUCGAUAAGUCUGAUGUGAAAGCCUUCGGCUCAACCGGAGAAUUGCAUCAGAAACUGUCGAGCUUGAGUACAGAAGAGGAGAGUGGAACUCCAUGUGUAGCGGUGAAAUGCGUAGAUAUAUGGAAGAACACCGGUGGCGAAGGCGGCUCUCUGGUCUGUUACUGACGCUGAGGCUCGAAAGCAUGGGUAGCGAACAGGAUUAGAUACCCUGGUAGUCCAUGCCGUAAACGAUGAGUGCUAAGUGUUGGGAGGUUUCCGCCUCUCAGUGCUGCAGCUAACGCAUUAAGCACUCCGCCUGGGGAGUACGACCGCAAGGUUGAAACUCAAAGGAAUUGACGG
rnacentral:rRNA from 1 species